GUGACAUAUAUACAUCCAGGUGUUACUGUGUUUAGCCGUUACAAGCAGUUUUGAAAAUCUGCCUCUUCCGACAUCACAAGAUGGGAUGUCAAACUAAAUGUGUGCUGAAUAGAUCAGUCUACCAGCCUACCCAGUGGACUGCAGCAAAAGUUACUCAUCUCUCCGUCACACAUCUAGGUGGACACGCCCACUUGUGAUGUCAGAAGAGGCAGAUUUUCAAAACGGCUUCUAACGGCCAAUCACACUCACACCUGGUGGUAUAUGUAUUCUUUAAAACGAUUUAAUGCAUUUGGUUGUAGAAUCCUGAUUUUGCUGAAGAAUAUUUAUUGACUGUUUAUUGACUACUAUUAUUACUUUUGGUGAUUUACAUUUAAACUUUACAUUUUUUCAUAACUUCUCUCGGCUAUGACGACAUUUGGCACAUCUUAAUUCCCAUUCACCCUAUUAAUCUAUAUUGAUCUCCCAAAUCACUCAUCUACUACAUCCAACAUUGGGGAGAUGAAGUCAACCGUUAAUAAUUUGAAUUUGAAUUCAAGUAAAAUGUAAGUAAGUGUCUAAAAAAUGUAAAUAUAUUUGAGGUUGAAAAUAGCUUUAUUCAAAUCAUUUUUCUUUGGGCUGUCUGCCAAAGCAGAAGCUAGAACUUAGAAAUCCGGCAUCAGGAUUAUUAUAAUUCUUUGGAAACGUAGUUCUUCUCGCUCUUGACUGUGACCGCUACCACUCUACUAGUCAUUACAUGUGGUCCACGUCUGUCUUCUGCCUGGCAGGCCCACCUACUGGCUGGGGAAGGACACCCUGAGGGUGUCUGCCAAACUGUUUGCGGAGAAUCGCCGUCGGCUGUGCCAGGGGCUGGGUGCCGCCGGAGCGCCCCCAGGAGCGGUGGUCCUCUUGCAGGGCGGGGAGCAGAAGCAGCGGUACUGCACCGACACGGACGACGUCUUCAGACAGGAUCUAUCCCAUGGAGCACUUCAAAGAGAAAUAUGCUGUUGAUGUAAGUCCAUGUGAUGUAAGUCUAGGGAAGUCAUCACUUCUGCUCUGGUCCACUUGUGUUGGCUGACAUUUUCCCAGGAUCUGAACUUUAAAGUUAAGGUUAGCCAGCCAUAAACUUGCUGUGUCUCUGUAGGGCCGUUUCUAAAGGUGAAAUCCACCCAUCCCUACUUCAGUUCAUAGCUGGUGUUGGUGUUGAAAUGGCGGUGUGGUCCAAAUGUAAUGGUUCCAUACAAACGCUGAAUCCAUAUCAUAACUACAAUUGUGAGUGGGUUAGAAGGCCUCUUGAAUAUCUGCACUGUGAUUAAUUCUGUACAUUAGUGAUCUCAAUCAUCUCCUGUUAUUUAACUACCGGUAUCUUCGUUUUUUUAUCAAACAUCUAAGAGGGGCAGAGACAGAAUCUUAAAAGCCUGGCGGUAUUACUUUAAUGACACAUGACAUAAAAGUCAAUUUCAUUUCUUUAAAGGUGGUCAUUAAAAUAAAUUGUUCUUGCAGUAAUAUACUCCUUGAUUUUAUUUAAUUAAUGUUAUGACAUCUCGUUAUUGGUUAAGGAGCUAGUUCAAGCCAAUGGUUUCUGGAUAUUAAAGGCACGUGCGGUUUCUUUUGCUUUCAUUUUUCCUUGCUGACGACCUGCGUUUUUUUCAUUUAUCUUCACAAAACGAACUGAAAAAUAAUGACUGUCAAUGUCAUUUGACAUUUAGUUAAGUCAAAUAAGUAAGUACUUGAGUUAUUGAGUUUUGAUGU
ensembl:lncRNA